rnacentral:lncRNA from 1 species
CACUCAGGAAGAACAGUCUCCACAAAAGGUCAGUGGAUGCAUAAGAUGGAAAGCUCUUCAAUGCCUCUUGAUUAUUUUAAAGUGCCAUUGUACACAGGGAUGUUGGGUAGAAUCAUAGGAUCAUUGGGUUGGAAGGGAACUUGGAAGGCAUCUAAUCCAAUCUACCACUGCAGGCAGGACCAGCAAUGCUGGAUGCACUUACAGCAUCCCUGACAGAUGGUCUACUAGUCUCUGUUUAAGUCCCUCAAGAGAAGAAGACCCAACCACCUCCCAGGGCAGUCUGUUCCAUUCUGAACAUUUCUUCCUGUUAGCAAGUGUAGCUCUCUUUCCCACUGAGAUUGUCUUGAGGUAUGACAGUAUUCUGCUGGUUCUCUCCAUUCCGUUUCCGUUAUGCUCACUAGAUCUGUGUUCUCCUUUAUAACCAAGCAUUCCAGCUUGCCCAUCUUAACUUUGGGGCUUCUAGCAUUAGCAUAGAAACAUCGGCACAUGGUGUCCCUUUCUUUCCAUCAUGUGCAUGUUUUUCCUGUCACCAUUUGGCCUCUUUGACUGGCUGUCAUAUUCUGCUGUAGGUUCUUGGCCUCUUUCCACAUGGUUCCCCUGGGGGUAGGGAGAGAACAUUUUCAUCCCUUAGGAAUGAUAAAUCCUGAAGUGAAUACUACUCCCGCUUCUGUUGGCUUUCCCCCAGAGAUCAUUUUUAAAAGAGUUCUAUCAACUUCUUGCUGUGCAGAACCAGCAGUUAAGUUCCAUUCUGUGUUCCUCUAGUGCCGCUGCUCCUUGAUGUUUGUAGUUGUUUUAAGAAUAUUUCCAUUUGAGUAUGACUCUUUCAGGAUUGUGUGAUAUCACCCUACACAUGACAAAAUAUAAAGGAAAAUCCAUGUGUUGUUUGUUAGAUUCGUCAUAAUGUUUAGUCACUGAAGUACUAUACACAUUUCAGUAAUGCCCAACUCUUGUAUCAGCUAUACAUGAGCAGGUUUUAAGUUCUGGGGGAAAAUAUUUGGCUUGAUAGAUUAACAGAGCACUACUGGUAUUGCAUAAAUAUCAAUAGAACUUGUACACAGACCACUUCUGAAAUGAUUCUGCUUCCUAAUUGCAACAAGAACUAAGCUGCAAGUUUCUUUAACAUUCACUCUAUAUCAAAGAACUUGUUUCCCAGUAUGUAACUAAGCAACCAAAUGUCCUUGUGUCUUCCACCAAUCAAAAGCUGGCCAUGCACAACGCUGCAUAUCAAAUAUGUGUCUGUUAAGCCAUAAAGAUCAGGCAGAACAAUGGAAAUGUGGAUGCAUGCAUCGUAGGAGAAGCUUUUCGGAAGGAUUUUCUAGGUGCUCCAAUUUUCCACCGGAUCUUUAUCGUUCUAUUAACAUGACUUUUCUGGGGGAAAGCAAUUGCCCAUUUCCAUGGUGUACAUCAUAUUUGCAAUGAACUAUCUCUAGUGUGUGACACUUUGUAAUAAUUGGCCUAAUCUUUAUUAAUUUCUCUGAUGUUCAUCGUAGUAACAUUAAUCAUUUGAUGCACUUUUGGUAUUAAUUUGAAUGUCAUAGGUACUUUCCUAGCAGUUCCAUUGUAAUUCCGGAUUAAUUAAUUUACUGUUCCUGCCAAUUUUGAUUUAAAAAUUAGACUUCUAGUACAAAAUCCACCUUGGCAGUUACUUCUUCUUUUUUUUACAUUUUUAAUUGCUGGUGCAAAUGCCAAGGGUAUGGUUAUCUUGUGCGGCUCCUGUUUCAACAAGAAUUUCACAUUUUAAUUUUAUUUAAAUGUCGACAGACAGAAAGUCCUUGGGGAAAUUGCAUAUAUACUAAAAGUUCAGAUUUGGGACAUGUCAGGGAUCUGCACCCUCCACCCUUUGUAUCUCAGGGAGCCUCUUCAUACCCUAAUGAAGAACACCCAUAGAAGGUGAGUUGCCAAAGUUCUGGUUAUAAGGGGGUGUACUGCCUAGCAAAAGCAACCAGGAGAUUAUGGCUUGCUGAAGCAGCCAAUAUGGUAAGACUCUUCUAGAACUUAGCUGCUGGUGAAAUUAAUGGGGGCCCAAAGACAUGAGCAUGAAGAGAUUGCUUGAAUUACAUUAUCCAUGAAGCAGUGGAAGGAGACAUUACUAAGGGAUAAAAUUGGCUUAAGAUGUGGCUUAAGAUCUAAAUGUAAUAGUAGUUGGAGAACAUGUUGCUGAACUUUUGUGAAUGCAUUGAUUAGGAUUCAUCCAUUAUUCUGCUGAAUUUACCAUAUUGGUUUGCUGACAGUACUGGAUUAGUUUGCUGACACUGAUAUAUUUGUUUGGAUGGCAAUAGUAUCACAGGAUAGAACAGGGAGUGGCUUGGGAAUCUGUUUACUGCUUUGCAGAAAGUAUUAUAAAAGGAACAGUUAAAAAAGGAACACCAAUCUGUUCCAGUUGUUUUAAGUUUAAAACAAGGUGAUACAUAGGCUUUCAAAAGGGACGUCCUGGUAAGUUAUUCCAGGACAGUCUGCCUGUUCUGCUGGUGAAGACUUACCCUGGACUAACAGGAAAAGGUCUAUGGCUCACCUGUAAAUGAUGAUCAGAGGGACAGAUCAUCCCACUUUACUGUAGGUGUCAAGAGCAAGCAGUGAGUCAUCAUCAUUUGAUAAUUAUCUCCUCUUGUGGCUAGAUCCUUGUGAACAGAUUUAUUGUAGUUGAGGUGACAUGGACAAGUUUAUUGUAGCGGAGCCUUCUGAGUGUACUGGGUCGUACUUGUUAUUAGGUGUACUAGAUCGUACUUGUCAUUAUUGUAAUGUCAAAUAAAGUUGAGUUGUCUCAUAUCCCUUUGGUGGUUUUCAACCCUUAAACUAUCCUGUGUCAGUGCUUUUACUGCUUCUCCCUUCUACCUCUUUUCCCUGUUUCUGCCCACAAGAAGACAGUAAUGAUUGCAUCAUGAGAUUGUACAUUCAUUUAAGUGCAGGAAGUCCCCGAAUCUAUGGUAUAGAACUGCUUCUAGUAGACAAAGCAUAUGAUUUUGAGUCCAGCUCUUGUUUUUGACCAGUUCCUGGAGAGGGCUUCCCACAGACAUCUGGUUGGCCACUGUGAGGAUUACGAACCAGACAGGCCUUGCGUCUAAUCCAGAAGAACUUUUGGGCUCUUAUCUCAGAGUGUGGGGAAGCAGGGAAGAAACAAGCACUGGGAUUCUAAGUAACUAUCAUCUUCAAGUAUAAUAAACUCCAGGCCAGUUUAUGCCAGUCUCCUUGGUGAUGUCCACCAAGAGAGAGUUAAACGCACAGGCAUUUAUUUUAUUGGUCGAAAAAUAAAUGCUACAAGUAAGCAGAAAUGAAAGUGGUGUGGGUUUACCACUUUCUCCAGCAAUGAUGGCAGGAGCUGUCUCUGACAUAUUUUAUUCCCUAAAAAAUGUUUUCUUUUGCUUUUGGCAGUGGUAAAUAUGAUACAGAAGCAUUAUCACCGGCUCCUGGAAAUACACUGGCAAAUUGAUGGCAUUUGACCACCAGAUGCUUACUUAAAAAGUAACUGCUGGAGAAAAUGAAGGAGAGCUGACCAUCUAUGAGGUUUAUUGAGGCGGCUGACAUGCUCCAAAAGCAGGUGGGCGUGAAGCUUGAAUGGUUUACAACCAGCAAUAACAAGACUGAAAAUACAUCUUAAUCAUGUAAUCUCCCACCACGUGAUCCUAUGCCUGAGGUGAAGGUGAUGGGGAUCAUUCUGUUAGGGCAAGCUGGUGCCUUUCCAGGCAGAUUACUGGGCAUAUUAACACAGAAGAAAAAGGAUUGCUUUGCACAUGACGUAAGGGAGAAAGGAGGUUAUGCAGCACAAGCCACAGGAGGAAAGAGAUCAGCCCCAGAGCCACAAAGGCGAGGGACAUGUGGAAAGCCUUGUGGCUAAUCAGGGUGUACCUGCAGUGAAUUUACCUUGAUUUGUCCAGAGGAAAUGUGAAAAGGAAAGUGAAAGUGUCUCAAAGAAAACAGUUUCUGUUGAGAUAAAGCAGAAUUGGAAGCCUUAGUCAAAAAGUUGUAUUUGUGGAUUAAGCAUGCAUGGGAUUAUUUUAGAUUAAGUUUUUUUUGUAUCUCUGUUGAAAGCUGUGGUCUGUCCUAAGCCUUUUGGACAGGGCACUCUGAAAAUGAAAACAUAAAGAGUUAUACGUGUAUAUCCACAUAAGGUCCCAAGCUGGGGAUUUGGACACAGAAGAGUUUGUCAAAGCAGGAAGGGUCAAAAGAGGCCGCAUGAAAGGCAGACAAGUGAUUCUUGAAGCAGCUUUUAGACUGCUCUCUUAUAGUGAGAUGUUCUGAUGUUUUUGUUUUCAUUUGCUUUAGAGUAAUCUUAACUUUUUGUAAACUAGCGUGGAACUUGUUAAAAGUAUGGAGUAUUAAUCCCUAAUGUGCAUAAAAGGCAUAGAACAAAUAUGUAAGGUAUCCUUGCUAAACUCAAAGGCUUUUCCUAUGUCCAGAGUUGUGUUUCAGUUAUUUCACAAUGAAUCCCUGACAAUGUUUUAAUAUUGUUUUGGCACUGCUUCAAAGAAAGAAAGCUCCACAGUAUAUGUUGUGCAUCAAGCCUCUUCAUGUUAAUGGCUGGGACCACUUAUUAUACUCAGAAGUGUGUCCCACUCAGUUCAAUAGCACUUCCUUCUAGGUGAGUGAGGAUAGGAUCGCAGGCCGAUUAAGAUGAGGAUGAGAUCAAGUUGGGGCUAUAAAACUGCUUUUGGCCUUUGGUGAAGUGCAGGGCUAUCCUAUGCAUUUUUACUCAGAGGGAAGCCCCAGUGUGUUAAAUGGGACCUUCUCCUGAGCAAGUGUGUGUUUAGAGUCACUUAACAUGAGGAAAACACCACUGGAGAUUGUCUUCUGUAGCUAUAAGCAGUCAGGAAACAGAGGACAUCCUCAACCAUCAAGGCAUUUCUAAAAAAGAUGAAAAGCAAAAAUACAUUGAUUGCUUUCCUAUAUGACAGCAGCGGUCCUAUGUACAUGCGUAAUUCAUAAUGGAAUGAACUGACAACCUACAGCUCACUGAUUUAUAGAUACGAGACAUGUGAUACUCUGGAUUUUUAAAAAUUAAAUAAAUAACCUGAUAAAUACAUAAAUAAAUGGACAAAGCAUUUAGGGUGUGUUGCUCAAGCUACUAAGAACACUCUUUAGCCAUCCAGCUAGUUCUCUUCUUGAAAAUAGCAAUUUGUUGUGUAACUUAAUUUUUCUUCACUCUGCUUGUGCACUUUUCAAGUUAUUUCAUCAUCAGCCAUUUUUUCCAAGAGAGCAGAAAUUCUGGACAAAAUCUCUUUUAGUUUAACCCUCAGUGGCAGAUUUACAGAUAUGUGCAGUAGGAGCAAGAAAUUGGGCCCCGUAAUAACGAAGUUAUUAGCAUACAUUGUUAACUAAGAGGAUACCUUUGAAAAUUGUCUACAUUUGAAGAAAAACAAGAGCCUAAGGAAGGUACUAAGGUGUAUAAACAAGACUUUAAGAUUGCCAAGGUCGAGAUAUACUGGGAUUAUAAGUGAAGCUAUUUUCUUUGAUUUCUGGACAUGUUAUUAUCCAACUGGAUCUGUAACUGUAUAUUAUAAUAGUACAUAUUUUCUAGCAGACAUUGGUGGUACUCGGAGAUAUUAUGGUUGUACUUUAGGAUACAGUUGAAUUAAUUGACUUUAAAGGUAAUACUCUGUUUGAAAAAUACUCUGUCUGAAAAAAAGGAAAUACAAUAGAAAGUGAUAUAAAAGAAACUGUAAGAAUAUAAAAUAAGAAAAACAAAAUCGCACGGGUGUAAUAAGGUAAAUUAAAGGAGAGUAGUUAAGACAUAGAAAAAUAAGAAUAACAAAACAAAAACCAAAAAAAAGAUUGUGCGCCCCUCAGUAUAUUAAUAUGGUAUAUUAACUAAUGGUCUGAGAUAUCAAAUAGGUAGAGCCAGGAUAAAAAUUGUGCAAAUUCUUGAGGAUUCUAACUCUAGCUCCAAACUAGAUGUUAGUGAGAAACAUGAUGGUUAGUUUCAAAAACUUAAUUUGCAUCACAUAGGAUUAGUGUUGCAGUGAAGCUGUUCCUAUUUCAUUAUUAACGGUACAUUUCUUAAGCAGGUAGCAAUCUUUUUAGAAAGGACAACUUUAUUGGCCAUUGAAGCAGAAUUUCUCAAGUUUGACAUUCCUUGGUUCUUAGUAUUGAAAAUGUCCUAAUAACUCUUAGCAUUUAUGUAGUGCGUUAGAGAAUCCAAAGUGCUUCACGUAUGUCUGCUUCGUAAUGCUAUGAACCUCUUUUCCCUUGCCUCAGUUUGUUCCUGUCUGACCCUACCAGUUAAACUGCACAUAUCACAACAAUAUUCAACAUGCUUUGUUACUACUUAGAAUGUGUAGUUUUGUUACUACUUAGAAUGUGUAGCUUUGUUUAUUACAUGUAAGACAUGUCUUCCUUAUUUAUGAGCACAGAAAGGUUACUAAAAUGAGUAACAGAAAUAUAUUUAUACUUUCCAUAACUUGGAUAUAAGCAUAAGAGGAAAUGGAAGUAGGCAAUGAUUCAAGCAGAUGGGAGAUCAUACCAAAAAAGGGUGUGGGCCAUCAGGAAACAGCAAGCAAAAACAUGCUUGUUGACAUUCGGUAAUGCAACAUAAUACACAGUGCUCUGGAAAGAAAUUUUUUAAUAUGGUGCCAUACUAUAGCCAAAACCAUCUCCCUUGUCCUUGAUGGAUUACACAAAUUUCCCUCUGUCUAAAAGCCCAUAAUUUCAUUUCCUAGACCCCAGAGUGAUGUGCUUCUUCAGCAUGACAUACUUUCCUAUGGCCUUUUAUUCUAAUUUUCUAUAAUUAUGAUCAUCAUUACUCACUGUGACAAGGGGCACUACUGUCCUACUUCUGCCAUUCUGCUCAGUUCAGACAGGGCACCCUUCUAAUUUGCCAUGGCCAGUGAUGAUAUCACCCUGGUGUGCUGACUGUCAGGAGCCUAUUCAAGGAGGGCAUUGAUGGAUGGACAGCUGAAGCACAGGAGUGGAUGAGCCAAGCCUGCUGUGCCAUCCUCAGAAGAGCCCUUUUCAAGGAGGGCAGGAGAACCCUUCCUUCCACCUCAAGGAAGAAAAGGAAACUGGAGGCAAACAAGCUGUGUUAGCCAGGGAGGUUGACCCUGGUCACAGGACAGAGAAGCUUUCCAGGCUGCUCUGGCUUGGUCAGGGUAAGGCAAGCUGAAUCCUACCUUGUCCAUGAUGUUAACUCCCUUGAAGUAACAAAGACUUGGUGAGGACAGAGAGCCUAAACCUUAGUGGUGUGUACUUCUCCUGGAGGAAACUCAUCGAUCCAUAUGAAGUAGAAAUCUUCUCAGUUCCCAGCCCUCAGAUCAUGCUAUCCCAUAAAUCAGGCUUCCUCAACCUCGGCCCUCCAGAUGUUUUUGGCCUACAACUCCCAUGAUCCCUAGCUAGCAGGACCAGUGGUCAGAGAUGCUGGGAACUGUAGUCUCAAAACAUCUGGAGAGCCGAGGUUGAGGAAGCCUGCCAUAAAUAAUUCAGAUGUUCCAUGAUCUAUCUCCCAUAACCAGCAAGGAAAAACUAUGCAUGGAUACUGGCCUCAUUUGUAUCAGCACAUUGCAAAAGAGACUAGUGCUCAGUAUGUCAGAUGACCCAGGCUGGUAAUUGAGUUUAAAGGUGGGAUGAAACUGCACUCAUCCUCCAAGCGCCAAAGGAUCAGAGUUGUGGCCUGAGGAACCUAGAAGAAUACUGGAUUGAAACCUAAAUAACGCUGACAAAUGCAGGAUCACAGAAAAUGGAUUUGCCUAAACAACAAAACCAAGAACUUACUUUCUCCAUGCCUCCCAGAAACCCAGAGCAAGAGCAUUUGUUUAAAAACAAUGGCAACAGACAGCGCUUCAGUAUAUGGAAAAAUAAGUGUUUGGACAUACUGACAAUAAACAGGACCAGAUGCUAUGCAUCAGUUGCACCUGACAAUCUUGGAAAUGACUCAUGGGAGAACAUUUCAAGUUAGUCAGAAGAAAUACAAAAUUGUUAGACACCAGAUCAGUACUUCAACUUCUGCAGUGUUAGCACUUUAAGGUAGAGAAGCUGCAUCCAGAUUUAUACCAUUUGAAGAUUUGGCAGGUAGCAGCCAAGAAAUAGAAUUCAUCUUCACUGGGCAUAAUAAUACGUCUAAAGAUAUCUUUCUAUAGCAAUUGUGCCAUCUCAUUAUGAUCCGUUAUCCACUUUCAUUUCUCAUUCCAUCUAUUAUUAAAUUAGGUUGUUCAACAAUGUAGCUAUUACGAAGUUAUGGACUUCCAUGUCCCCUUUCAAGGCAAAAAGGCUCUCCAAGAUUUUGCAAUUUGGAAUUUCAGGUCUGCCACUGCAGCUAAAGUGGAUGAUAACAAAAUGCAGCUUGAUUUACAUUUCAAAGCUUUCACUGAAUAUAAAGCCGCUCUAUUGGCCUUUAAGCACUAUAUCAUCUGUGUCAGGCAUAUUUAAGCAAAUUGUUGGCUCUGUUAAUGCCAUAUUGAACACUACAAACUGCUGAUGUAGUCUUUAUGGCUACAUCGUAAGCUACAUAAGCUGAAAUUGUGUUAGUCUACAUAGUGUUUAGCUAUGCUCCUUAAAGAAAUGGAGCUAUCAUUUCUACCUGGUUUUCAGCAUUGUCCAGCUAUCUUUGUCAUCGUUUUGUCAUUAUCACAUCUUUUCUGAUGUCCUUCUAGUCCAGCACUCUGUUCUCACAGUGGCCAACCAGUUGUCCAUGGGAAGCCCAUCAGCAGAAUCUGCUAUUAUGGGCUGUGUCCGUAAGACACUGGACUCCUGAUUAAGUAAAACACACAGUCCCAAAACCAUAGAACUUUGCAUUUUUCUCCUUCAGUAAACAUGGUUAGUUCUCUUGUCAAUAUUUAUAUGUAUAAGUGUUGUCACAUUUUGCCUGUGCUGAAUGAUUAUCUAGGUGCUUCACCAAAGUGCAUGUUUCUGCAUGAAGACCUUUCACCUGCCGAACAGAUGAUCAGCUUUCACAGCACUGAUGACUUGUUUGGGUUUAAGGAGCAGGUUGUCUCCCGAGACAGAUGGAUGCCAACAAACCAGGAACUUGCCACACCCUGACUCUCCAAACAGCUGAUCAGCCCUUUCCAAGUGCCAACCAUCUGUUCAACAAUGCAUAGAGUUCUGAAUACAGGAUUCUGCCCCCAUCCCCGCUUUCCAAUGCCGAAUUCUUUAGUCUGUGCGAAAUUUGAUCAAGGAAGGUGAUUUUCCAAUAGAAUUCUGUUAGCUCUCAGAAAGAUCACUUUUUCUGGUUUGGAAUGAUUGCAGGCUUAGCAAAAAUCUGUGACCAUCCCAAGCACUAUAUUGACAUAGGGCUACAUGGGAAAUAAUACAACAUUCAAACAUGUAACAGUGUCUGAUCACUAUAGUAAAAAUGGAGCAACUGCAAUGAAAAUAUAUAUAAUUUUCUUUCAUAUUCAUAACCAUAUUCACACCUUGCCUGUGGGGAAUGGACAUUCAUGUGUUAAGCUAAAACAGAUAACAGUGAACACGUGUUGAGGUAAUUGCCAAAAGAGGCUCUGGUCAACACAAGUAAUCAUGAAAAUUUUUUCAGAAGACAGGUUGCAGGCAGGGAUAUAAGAGCAGGCAACAAUGUAACAGGAGUCAAACUUUCCCCAUCCAUUGAUAUGCAAAAUGGGAGAAGAAAGAUUGGUUCUUAACAGCAAUCUAAUAAAUCCAGAAAUAAGUAAAGUGGUAAAAAUUCAAUGAUGUGUGAGUUAAAUGUGUGAAAGAACAUUUCUGUCAUUUCAGGAUUCUGUUCCCAUUUGUUGCCAAACGCCUCAUACAUUUUGUGUUUUAUUUGUUAAAAUUUGAUUUCUUCUCAUUUGUUUUUGUUAAAAUCCCAUUUCCUUCAUGUCUUGAUACUUUUGUUUCCUGUUUAUUUUGUCACCUGCAGACAUCCGUCCAAGGUCCAGGUUGGACAGGAUCCUAAACACCAACAAAACAGCAGAAUGCAACAGAUGGGCAUGAUUUGACUUCUGUUUGUGCCUAUUAGUUUCCCUCUGGGUUUGUUUUGGAUCAAAUAGAAAUUCAACUGAAUAGACACCAUUCAAUUCUAUUUUCCAUUUGUCAAAUAAAUACACACUCC